UGACACAAUUUGAACGGUGAAAAUUGACAUUUGGUGCACUCCUGAGUUUGCGCAUUGCGUGAGCUUACAGAUCCGGUCUCUGAAUUCGCCAUUGUGAUAGUUGUUAUUUCGAUAAGAGCGAAUAAAAUAUCAUAGAGUCUUGUUGCAAUAAAUACUGUGUCAUCAAAUUAUUCCUUAAUGUCGAUGUAAAAGAAUACCCAAAAUUCCUCACUUCGUUAUCUGGCCCUCGAUAUGUAGCUACUUCCAAAUAUUUUCGAGCCGGCCCUGGCUAUUUUUAAAUUUGGCGGCUCCGUUUUGUCUUACUGCGCAAACUCAGUAGUGCACCUGUGCGAAUUCAA